rnacentral:rRNA from 1 species
AGAGUGAACGCUGGCGGCAGGCCUAACACAUGCAAGUCGAACGGCAGCACAGGGGAGCUUGCUCCCUGGGUGGCGAGUGGCGGACGGGUGAGGACAACGUCGGAAUCUGCCUUUUUGUGGGGGAUAACGUAGGGAAACUUACGCUAAUACCGCAUACGACCCCGGGCCGGGAGGUUCGGGGUGAAAGCGGAGGACCUUCGGGCUUCGCGCAGAGAGAUGAGCCGACGUCGGAUUAGCUAGUUGGUGGGGUAAAGGCCCACCAAGGCGACGAUCCGUAGCUGGUCUGAGAGGAUGAUCAGCCACACUGGAACUGAGACACGGUCCAGACUCCUACGGGAGCAGCAGUGGGGAAUAUUGGACAAGUGGGCGACAAGCCUG